rnacentral:tRNA from 1 species
GUCGCCAUAGCUCAACUGGGAGCUCGCCGGUCUGUCGAACCGAAGGUCUCGGGAUUGGUACCCGCUGGCGGCGCUA